ACCACUCACUUUGCAGAAAUACUAUCGUCUCACGAUUACCUUACGAUCGACCUUAGCUAAGUACUGCUCGAGUAGUACGAUGCCAGGAGGAGAUGAGCCAGUUUUCGGAGGUAGGGAGGCGUUUGCAGGUGCAGGCAAGGGAGGGAAUGGUGGUGCUGCUGGGCGAGCGAUCGGAGGUAGGGGAGGGAAUGGUGUUGGGUCCAGGGGACCUGCAGCCGUGGGUGCAGGCGUAGGAGGACAGUACCAGUUCCAAGUAGGAGGUGGCGGAGCCAGGCCAGCUGCAGGCGGAGGAGCAGCCAGACGACAGUUCCCGGUGGGCGGGUACGGUGGCGGAGCCAGGCCAGUGGCAGGCGGAGGAGGGUUUGUAGGUGCGGGCGGAGGACAGUUCCCGGCGGGAGGGAGCGGUGGUGGACGCAUGGGAGCUGCAGCCGUGAGAGCGUUCGCAGGUGCCCUCGGAGGACCGAUCCCAGCAGGAUUGUUGUACGGUGGUGGAGUCCAGGGAGCUGGAGCCGUGGGAGAGUUUGGAGCGGCUAGGGGAGGAGGGUUCAGAAGGAACGCCGAUGAUAUUCUGCCCGCUGUGUUCUACCGAGGAAUUAUGCGAGGGUCGGAGAUUUGUGGCGUGGUCCGCCGGUGGAGUCCAACACUCAGGCGACCACUGGGUCUGGGACUGGCAGCAGGCCAACCUCUACUACGACGAACUCACAAUCUUUUUCUGCAGCUCAGGCGUCGAAUUCACAAUCACAAACAAGCGUGAAUUAUGACAAGACGAAUCCCUAUCGGCAGCUGCUUCAACUGCACCAGCCCAACCCUCCUCCGCAGCUGACACCACGGCGGCAACAACGUUGAACAGUGACAACGAUGCCGUGAACCGGGAGCUAAAUGCAGCGCGUGGCCGACGAUAAGGACCAAGACAGGAAAGCAAUGCAAACAUGGCGCCAAGAGACUAAACAAUGUAUCUUUGUGUAUCUGUUUGAUGCGACAUUAUUUGAGUUAAUAAAAGGGGAAAAACUUAUCUUCAA